AAGAUAUGUUUGAUAUUAGCAAACUUGUCAAGAUUUAACAGUUGCCCCGUAGUGACUAUACUGUGAUGAUUGUCUGAAAAGUUAGUUAAUAGGGCACUUAGCACUUAGCACUUGUGAAAUUUUUAUGAGGAUACCUAUUGAUAUAACCUAACCUCUUUUUACUAAUAUUUCGAAUCCAAUUUUGACAUGUAUAAUAGAUCGUUAUCAUGGCUUGGAAGCAUAGUGUUUGCAUAUUAUUUUUGGUGACUCCUAGAUCCAGAGACAUACUUACAUUCUUAGUACCCAGGGCACUGUUCUUUUAAUGCUCUUUCAUAAGAAUACAAUUUUUCGACGCAUUGGAAUUUCGAGCUACAAAGCUACUUGCUUUAUAUUUUGUAUAAUUGUACUGUAAACUUUGGGCUCUAAAACACAUUAUUUUAGGUCCU